UACGUAGGGUGCGAGCGUUGCCCGGAUUUAUUGGGCGUAAAGGGCGCGUAGGCGGCCACGCACGUCCGUUGUGAAAUCGCCCGGCUCAACUGGGCGGGGUCGGCGGAUACGGCGUGGCUGGAGCAAGCUAGGGGGCAAUGGAAUUCCCGGUGUAGUGGUGGAAUGCGUAGAUAUCGGGAGGAACACCAGUGGCGAAGGCGACUUCUUGGCCUGUUCUUGACGCUGAGGCGCGAAAGCUGGGGGAGCAAACGGG
rnacentral:rRNA from 1 species